GGAUUGCCUCAGUAACGGCGAGUGAAGCGGCAGCAGCUCAAAUUUGAAAUCCGGCCCCCCCCGGGGCCCGAGUUGUAAUUUGGAGAGGGUGCUUCGGGGCGCGCCGCCGGUCCAAGUGCCUUGGAACAGGCCGCCGUGGAGGGUGAGAGCCCCGUCCGCGGCCGGCGGGCCGUCCCCGCGCGAAGCCCUUUCGACGAGUCGAGUUGUUUGGGAAUGCAGCUCCAAGCGGGUGGUAAAUUCCAUCUAAAGCUAAAUACAGGCCGGAGACCGAUAGCGCACAAGUAGAGUGAUCGAAAGAUGAAAAGCACCUUGAAAAGGGGGUCAAACAGCACGUGAAAUUGCUGAGAGGGAAGCGCUGGCCCCCAGACCUGCCGCGCGGGUGGACCCCCGUGGCCUCGUGCCGCGGGGGCUCCCCGCCCGCGUGCAGGCCAGCACGGGUCCGGACGGCGGGAUAAAGCGCCCGGGAAUGUAACUCCCCCCGGGGAGCCUUAUAGCCCGGGCGGUCAUGCCGCCCGCCCGGACCGAGGACCGCGCUGCGGCGAGGGUGCUGGCGUAAUGGGGGUCAGCGGCCCGUCUUGAAACA
rnacentral:rRNA from 1 species